rnacentral:rRNA from 1 species
UACGGAAGGCAGCAGUGGGGAAUAUUGCACAAUGGGCGAAAGCCUGAUGCAGCUAUGCCGCGUGUAUGAAGAAGGCCUUAGGGUUGUAAAGUACUUUCAUCGGGGAGGAAAAAACAAAACUAAUAAUUUUAUUUCUUGACGUUACCCGAAAAAGAAGCACCGGCUAACUCCGUGCCAGCAGCCGCGGUAAUACGGAGGGUGCUAGCGUUAAUCAGAAUUACUGGGCGUAAAGAGCACGUAGGUGGUUUUUUUAAAGUCAGAUGUGAAAUCCCUGGGCUUAACCUAGGAACUGCAUUUUGAAACUGAAAUACUAGAGUAUCGUAGAGGGAGGUAGAAUUCUAGGUGUAGCGGUGAAAUGCGUAGAUAUCUGGAGGAAUACCUGUGGCGAAAGCGGCCUCUUAAACGAAUACUGACACUGAGGUGCGAAAGCGUGGGGAGCAAACAGGGAUUAGAUACC